GAGCCAGAGGCUCGCAGAGAUUGUGGCAGCACACACAGACAGCACUGGUCCUAGCCAGUGGACUCCCAGCACUGGGAAGAGUAGACACAAACCCCCACCCCUAACUCACACGCUAUCACCAACUGAUGAUCACUGACAAAGGGAAAUUACUUUCUCCAAUGGAGCAUCACUGGGUAUACAAGUCACACGUAAGGCCAGGCCCAUGACCAGCAGGAGAUGGCCAACAUAAAACAAACUCAACAAAGGGGUUUUGUCUCACAUGCUUUGUCUGUUCUGGUAUUAAUGUCUUGCUGUUGUUAUUGUCUUGUUUGUCUCUUUGUUUUAACCUUACAGAUCUUCUGGUUAUAUAUUGUGCUCUCUGAUUUUGUGUUUGUAUUGAUUUUGUGUUUCUGUGCGUUCAAAUGUGUGUGUCUCAGUGUCAAUAUGUGUUUCUUCUCUCUCUCUCUCUCAAUCCUGUUUUGUUGUUGUUGUAAUGUUUUUUGUUUUGUUUUGUCCUGUUCUGGCUUGUUUGUUUUUAUUUUAUCUCAUUUUAUUAUUAUUAUUAAUUUAGAUGUCUGUUCAUAGUCUAAUAAGAUAGAGAAGGAAAAGGUAUGGAUUUGGGCUGGUGGGGAGUGAGGAGGAGGUAGGAGGUUGAGAAAAAGGAAAACAAAAUAAAAGUUUACUAUAUGGAAAAAAAGACAUUUUCGAGGAAAAAACAAAAAACAAAGAAAUUUCUCUGCUUAAAAUAAUAAUGCCCUUUCCUCCUUGGCUGAAUCCCAUUUGUUUGGUACAUUUCACUGUUGAAUGAUAAAUCUAAGACACAGGAGACUCUCCAGUGUGAACAGAACUGAGGCCUCUUUGGAUAUGAGAAAUCUAGAUUUUUUUUUUUAACCUGAGUUUCAUUUGUAUAAAAAGAUUUGGGCCGGGGUGUUUGGGGAUAGAACACACACAUAGCAUGUGAAAGGCUCUGGGUUCAAUCCCCAGACAAAAACCAAAUAGGAUUCCAUAUAGAAAAUAAUAAUAUGACUGUUUUAUUGUUUUUGCCCAAUGGAAUACUUAUCCUGAGAUAAAAUUGGUUUUUCUCUCUGAGAAGGGGACUGUGGAGUUUGACUCUAACACCAUCUGAGGUCUCACCCACUCUACUGCACGUCUACUUCCUCUGACUUUGCUUACAUCAUUUAUUUUUACCACUUUUUUUUUUUUUUUUUUUUUAGACAGAGUUGGCUAUGUAGCCCAGGUGUUCAUCCCCCACAGCACCCUAUGCACUGGGGUUAUAAGCGUGUGUCAGCAGACCCGGCUCUUCCUCAAAUUUUAUUUAUACAGGGUUUUAAGUAUUCAAAUAUUUUUCCCUAUAAAAUUUAAAAACUGAGUGGCAUUCUUAAACUCAUUUACUUUUUUCUGCUGAUAAUCAGGAGUCAUAAUACUAACAGGUAUCUGAGGGAACUAGUCAAAGCAUUUGCUCCCUGUGUGACUUUAUCAUCUCCUCAUCAUUUUAACAAGUAACAGGAAGGAAGGGCUGCACUCCUACGGUCAUGAAGGUGUCAGUCCAGGAUCAGCUGCCUGGCUUGUGUUGGGUUGUGGGACAGAGGGCCAUUUGCUCUUCAUAACUCAGAAGCAAAAGGAACAAAGGAAGACACUGGGGUCCCACGGUCCCCCCUUGAAGGGCCCAAAUUCAAUGACUCUCCAUAGGUACAACCUCUUGAAGGUGCCACCACCUCUCAUUGGUAUCUUAGGCAGAUAGCCAAGCCUUAGCAAUAGCCUUUGAGACCUUCCUUUUCUGAUAGACUAAGACCUGCCUGCACUAUUGAGUUUCAGGAGUGUCCAUGUGUCUUAUUCUGACCAUUGAGUCUUGGAGCAAUGUCACACAUACCACCCUGUGUACAAGUUCAAGAACAAACCAAUGGCUCACCUCCCCCUUUUCCUUCUACCUCUUACCUCAAGAACUACCACCCCACUGGCAACACCGAUGGGCUCCACCCUCAGAUACCCAGUAUACAGCCCCACAGUGGAUAUAUGUGGAUGAGAAAUAAAUGUGAGUUGUUUGAGGAUACCUGAGCCGACUUCUGUAAAAUAGUUAGCCCUGUGUAUGGUUUAUAUUCAUUUAUUUAAAGUAGUUAGCCCUAUAUAUGGGAAAUGUAUGUUCUUUUUUUUUUUUUUUAAUUGUUUUCGUAUGAUGUCUUUGACCAUGUUUCUCCUCUCCAAACCCCUUCUGAAUCUCUAUCCAUCCAACUGUGAUUGUUCUCUCUCUCUCUCUCUCUCUCUCUCUCUCUCUCUCUCUCUCUAUCUCUAUCUCUCUCCCUUCCUCUCUCCUAACUUACUUCCCUCCCUUCCUCCUCUUCCUCCCCUCCCUUUCCUUCUCCAUCUCUCUUUCUAUCUCUUUUUUUUUCACAAACACAUACACACCAAGAAGCAAAAACCAAAAAAGAGCAACAAACAAACAAAACACAAAAUGAAAACCAAAACAAACAGACAAAAAAAAAAACCACAAUAAGACAUAAAUUGUCCAGAAGUCCACAAAAGGACCACAGAGUCCGUUUUGGGAGUCUAGCUACUCCUGGGCAUAAGGCCUACCCUGACAUGUGGAUGAUAUAGCCACUGACGUUCAAUUGGAGAAAGCAGCUUUUUCCCUUUGGCACUCUAUAUCAAUUGCAAAGAGCUUCUUGAUUAGGGGUGGGAUCCCUAAUCUACUUUCUCCUCUCAGUGCUGGGACACUGUCUGGCUUGAAUGUGCUACCAGUCUCUUCCAGUUCAUAUGUGCAUCAGUCCUGUUGUGCCCGGAAGACAGUGUUUUCUUGAAGUCGUACAUAGCCUCUGGCUCUUACAAUCUUUCUGCCACUUCUUCAGAGGUCCCUGAGCCCAGAGACAAAGAGUUUGGUGAAGCCCUCUCCUUUUGGACUGAGUGUUCUAUAGAUUGUGUAUCUCAAGCAUCAGAAACAUAUUAAAUCACUAGUACCCUCAGUGGCAAUUCAUUUGUUCAUUCAUCUUACUUGCCAUAGUUAAAAUAUACUUAAGUAUCAGCUAACGUUCUUUACAAGGUGUUAAGACUUUUCUAAGAUUUAAAAAUGGGACUUAGGAUCCAACCAAGAGGCUAAGGCCUCCUCUGUGGAGAAAAACAAUUAAAAGGGGCAGGUGACUAAAUAGUGGCCGUUGGACCUGUUUUGUUCAAGACUAUUUAGUGAGCAAUUAGUGCUCUCUCCCCUGGUGACACUACGCUGUCUUAGUGGCCUCUGUGACUCAGGAGGCUCACAUCUCUUAGCUAAAUACAAC
rnacentral:lncRNA from 1 species